AUGUUCGUCGGUCUGUUUACUCAAAACCCUAUCCCUUUCUCUGAAACCCUCGCAAAGUUUCAAUCCUCUCCAAUGGCGGCGACAGACGAACCCUCCGAUCACUCCUCGUUUCCAUCGUAUUCGGUAAACCAUUCAGAUGAUAAUGGCAGCGCCACCGAAGCCGGAGAAGUCUAAGUAGCGCUCGUAGGUGUCGUCGUCGCCAUCGUCUUCUUCUUCAGCGUCGCCGUUGGAGCUCGAAGCGUAGCUCUUGCCCUCAUCGAAGUUUGGGUUCGAUCUUUAUAAGCUUAUCCUCUGUUCAUCUAGGGUUAGAGUUUUAGUUUUUUUUUUUUCAAAAUGUCUGAUUUGGUUGGGGUUUGAUCUGCAAGUUUGAUUUUCACUUGGUACAAUUCUUCUUUACUUUCAUGCCUUUAUUAGGUAUUUCUCUAUAUUUAUUUAAUUUCUCUUUUUUACCAUUUUGAUUUCUUUGUUUUAUGGAUUUAUUGUUUUCAUCUUAGCUAUUUAUCUGGUGGCUCAGUAUGCGCGCUAUGAAAUCAGAAGGAUGGAAGCAGUAAUUGCUCUUCAAUUCUUUAGUAUCUUGUUUAUUGACUCACUUUGUUCUCCCCUUUUUUUUUGGCUUUUGUGUUCUAAUUCAUAUCUCUCUUUGCCACUUUAGUUUGAUCAAUUUAUGAGAUGCUGAAUUUUUGGAUAAUAAUUAGUUCGGAUGAUUGAAAAAAAAAACCUAGAAUUGGAAGGCAAGGUCUCCUUGAAUUUAAUAUUACUAGCUUUUACUCACAAUGUAGCUGAUUAUGAGUGCCAAAGUACUAGUUUGAGCUGUUUUAGCUUGAAUUCCUAUGGGUUGACAUGUAUCUGGACAUUUUGGUUUAGGAUUGUGAUGAUUUAGAUUCUAGAGCAUGUAUCUAGUCUGAUAAAUUCUUAGUCAAUUGAGACACUUUUAGUGUGUUCUAUUUUUUUGAAACUCUCUCUGUUUUCAUGUGAACCUUUUAGGAGUUCUGCAUUCGGAGGACAAAAUUGGGCUCCAGAAGGUUUGUUUGUAAUUCUUAAUGCUAUAAAAUCUUAAUAAGAGAGUUUGUUUGUUUACAGGUUUGACAUUUUAGUUUAGGAUUCUGAUGAUUUUUAUGAUUGAAAUUAAAGGAAUGGUCAUGAACUUGAUUACAUCUCAAAUGUUUUCAUUGAAGUGUUUAAUCUUUGAUGAUAAGUUUGGUAGUAAUGGCUUUGAUCUUUCUGAGUUUUGCUGAAUCCUGAGCAUUUUCUGUGUUUCCUAUGAACCAUGCAUUAGUUAUUACAUGUGAUUUGCAAGUAAGGAAUUGAUUUGCCUGCUUUUAAUUGCUCAAGUUACAUUGCCAUUGUUUUGAUGUUGUUUUUGAUCAUAUAUGAUGACUUUGAGCUAAGAUUUGAUGUGCUUUAUGUGGAAAGACGUUUUUGAGAAUUAGAAUUGUUUGUAUUAGUAUAAGAAUGGUAAGGUCAUGAAUUGGAGUCUUCAUUAUGAUGUAUUUGUUUAGUUUGAUUCAUCAUUUAUGACCCAUGAGGUGCAAUGAAUACCAGAAAAAGUGUUUUAUGAAUAUCUUUUUAUUUUUUUUAAGAACGUAACAUCAUAUUGAAGUAUAAGAAUGAGGCCAGUGAAUUAGAUUGAAUGCAUUUGUAGCAGUUGUUGCUUUGGGGCCUUGCUUUUGAUUUAUUAUUUUGUUUUCAACUGUUCUAUUAGAGCCUAUAGUAUAUGGUUUUAGGGUAUUAAAUGCCUUAUCGGGAGGGAUUAUAGGAUUCAAGUUACAAUUAAUAGAAGAAAGACUGAUUUUGGAGUGUCAUUUUUUCUUUAUGUGUGCUUAACAUUGUAUUUAAAUUAAAGUAUGAUAAGGUCGGUGACUUGGUUUGUAUGUAUUUGCCACAGAUGUUGUCUUAUAUAUAUUUCAGUUGCAGAUAGUAGUCAUGAACAUGCUCAUCAGCACAUCAAUGGUUGCAGAGGAAUACGCAGCUUGAAUUGGAUCCCGAAAGACUUGGUUACAUCGAGCCUUGGUAGCUAGAGAUGUUGCUACUACAGAAGGACAUGUACUUGAGCUACAGUACCAAUACCAAUGAGGUAUUGGUGGAGAAAGGGGUGUUGAUGGGGUUGGUAGUGAGGGAUGGGAGGAAAGUGUAUGUGUUGGUAGGGGAGAAGGAGGAUGAUGAUGAUGAUGGUGGUGAUGAUGAUGUCAAUGGGGGAAUUUUGGGAAGGAAAUUUAGGAUUGAAGAGGUGGUAGACUUGGGGAUGAAUGGAGGAAAUGAUAUGAUUUUGGCGAUGGUUCUAUUAGGUUUUGGUUUGGCUUAUUUUUUGUAUUGGAGAUUUCAGAUGGGAAAGCUCGCCUCCUCUUUGAACAAGAAGAGAGCUUGAUCCUAGGACUGUGUGUGUGAGGAGCUUGAUUGAACUGUUAGAUUAGAUGAUAUAUUCAAAACAAAAAGUUUGAUUUGUGAUUUUACAGCAAAACAGUGAAGAAAUGUUUGUGACUAAUGAAUUCCCAGUGUUCUGCUACUGUGAGUCGAGGACAGGAAAUCAGCUGGAUUUAUUAAAAAAAAAAAAGCAAUGUUUUCAGAUUAUUUGUAUUUUUUUCUGUAUUUAAUUCGAAAUGUUAUGUUAUUAUGUCUUCAAUGUUUUAAUGGUAAAUAAAGCUGGUUGCUGGUUUGCAACAUUCAUAACUAGUUUACUGCAUGUAGUAUGAUCAAUUAGGUUAAUGGAAUGUUGGCAGUGUUAAAAUACAGGAUCAGUUUGCUUAAAUGUAAUGUUGCCAUCAGUUUUUAUUGUGGAGGUGA